rnacentral:misc_RNA from 1 species
CGAGUGCCCCAAGCGUUGUCCGGAAUUAUUGGGCGUAAAGGGCACGCAGGCGGUUCCUUAAGUCUGAUGUGAAAGCCCGUGGCUCAACCACGGAGGGCCAUUGGAAACUGGAGGACUUGAGUACAGAAGAGGAAAGUGGAAUUCCACGUGUAGCGGUGAAAUGCGUAGAUAUGUGGAGGAACACCAGUGGCGAAGGCGACUCUCUGGUCUGUAACUGACGCUGAGGCGCGAAAGCGUGGGGAGCGAACAGG